UGUUUGAACGUGACUACGUCUAGAAAAGGUUUCAUCUGUCAAAUGUAUUCAUCCUCAAACAGA
rnacentral:pre_miRNA from 1 species